UACGUAGGGUGCGAGCGUUGUCCGGAAUUAUUGGGCGUAAAGAGCUCGUAGGCGGUUUGUCGCGUCUGCCGUGAAAGUCCGGGGCUCAACUCCGGAUCUGCGGUGGGUACGGGCAGACUAGAGUGAUGUAGGGGAGACUGGAAUUCCUGGUGUAGCGGUGGAAUGCGCAGAUAUCAGGAGGAACACCAACGGCGAAGGCAGCUCGCUAGGACGGUACUGACGCUGAGGCGCGAAAGCGUGGGGAGCAAACAGG
rnacentral:rRNA from 1 species